CACAGAGGAGCUUGCUCCUCGGGUGACGAGUGGCGGACGGGUGAGUAAUGUCUGGGAAACUGCCCGAUGGAGGGGGAUAACUACUGGAAACGGUAGCUAAUACCGCAUAACGUCGCAAGACCAAAGUGGGGGACCUUCGGGCCUCACACCAUCGGAUGUGCCCAGAUGGGAUUAGCUAGUAGGUGGGGUAACGGCUCACCUAGGCGACGAUCCCUAGCUGGUCUGAGAGGAUGACCAGCCACACUGGAACUGAGACACGGUCCAGACUCC
rnacentral:rRNA from 2 species